rnacentral:lncRNA from 1 species
UACCGUUACCACUCGCGGUCCCAAAGAAUCAUGACCUGAGGCCCGCUCGGCUUCAUGCGCGGGCUCCGCAAGCCGGAGCUGCGGUGGAGGCGCUGCGCCCAGCACCAGGAGCUGCGUAGGCAUGGGGUUUUCCCCACCUGGAGAAAGGGGGCCGAGUGUCUGUGGGUUUCCGGGAGUGCUCACUCACAGGGGCACUCCGUCCAGUCUCAUUCCCUUUCUUUUAGAUGCCCUUACCUCCCUACUGCCUAGCUUAAAGUGCACACAUUUAAUAUUUUUCCAUGUCUUCUCUUAGCACAUCCUUUCUCCAACUUCCAAACGUAGCUCAAAUCCUUAACGAGGCUCCAGGUUGACCGCAGUCUCGCUCUCCAAGCUUCAUCUCCUCUGGCAGAGGGUAGGCCUGUAGGUCAGUGGUUCUCAGAUUUUGGCGAGUGUCAGAUUCUCCUGGAGAGUUUGUUCAAACACAGCUGGCCCCUAUCCCCAGUUGCUGUUUCUUUAACUCCAGGGUGGAGCCUGAGAAUUUGCAUUUCUAACAAGUUCCCAGGUGAUGCUGAUGCUGCUGGUCUGGGGAACCACUUUGAAAACUACUGCUGGUGGUGUUUGUUGGCUAGAGUUCUGGCAUUGUCCUUCAAGGAUGGGCCUGCUGUACAGUUAUAGCCACUGAAGAGCCAAGCCAUGGAAGGCAGGGUCCCGGUCUAGUUUAGCACAGAAAUGCUCUUUUUAACUGUAAAUUAAAUAAACAAAUCACUUCAUCCAGUAUAGGGAAGAUACUAGGUGGGCCAUCUGAUUGAAAGAUGUUCCAGACCUUGGCCCUUGGCGUUCCUGUUACCGCCCACCAAUAGUUUGAGAGGCAAGAUGGUAGCCUCUCCUCACCAUCUGCUGUCCUGAUGUUCUGGGAACUACAAACCUCUCCAGGGGAAACCUGGUGACCAUCACCCUCAGGCAUGAUCUCGGACUCAGCUGUAAGCUGACAAAUGUUCUCUGCUCGACCGAACCCUAGCCAGGCUCCUCUGAGCUCUCUUCUCCAACAGUUGCCAACCUUGGCCUAUAAAAACUAUCCUCUCGGGCUGGCCUGGUGGCAUAGUGGUUAAGUGCGUGUGCUCCACUUUGGCGGCCUGGGGUUCACAGGUUUGGAUCCCGGGCGCGGACCUAGCACUGCUUGUAAAGCCAUGCUGUGUUGGCAUCCC